ensembl:lncRNA
AUGGUUGCCAGGGUAGGUUUUUUCCAUGGGACAGAGGUCAGGCUAUGUGCCAGGGUAGGUUUAUUCCAUGGGACAGAGGUCAGGCUAUGUGCCAGGGUAGGUUUAUUCCAUGGGACAGAGGUCAGGCUAUGUGCCAGGGUAGGUUUAUUCCAAUGGGACAGAGGUCAGGCUAUGUGCCAGGGUAGGUUAUAUUCCAUGGGGACAAGAGGUCAGGCUAUGUGCCGGGUAGGUUUAUCCAUGGGCAGAGGUCAGGCUAUGUGCCAGGGUAGGUUUAUUCCAUGGGACGAGGUCAGGCUAUGUGCCAGGGUAGGUUUAUUCCAAUCGGAAAGAGGUCAGGCUAUGUGCCAGGGUAGGUUUAUUCCAUGGGACAGACAGACCAGGGUAUCUGCCUUGUGGAAAGUAAGACAAGGUAGGAUGAUGUUGAUGUAAUGUCAGGAGCCCUCUUCACCCACACACCAGUCGUAAUCAUUUCUCCAUCAGUCCUUUAUCUUCAGCCAAGAAGUCUUUUACCCUAUAUUGAUAGACAGUAUCCUCAUGAAUCCUCAGCAGGGUUGUGGAUUCUUGUUUUACCUGGAAUGGUUUUAGAUAGAGACACAUUUAAAUCAUCAUCAUUAUUAUCACCGCCAUCAUCAUCAUCCUCACCACCAUCCUCAUUGUUGUCGUCAUCACCAUCAUCAUCAAUAUCAUCAUCACUACCACCACAACCACCACCACCAACAACUUCAUAUAAAGAACAAUAGCUGAGCCCAGUAGCUGAAUUCUCAUCAUCAAUAUCAUCGUCACUACCACCAUCAACAACAACUUCAUAUAAAGAACAAUAGCUGAGCCCAGUAGCUGAAUUCUCAUCAUCAAUAUCAUCAUCACUCCCACUACAACCACCAUCACCACCACCAUCAUCAUCAUCACUACCACCAUCACCACCACCAACAACAACAACAACUUCAUAUAAAGAACAAUAGCUGAGCCCAGUAGCUGAAUUCUCAUCAUUGAUAUCAUCAUCACUACCACCACAACCACCAUCACCACCAACAACAACUUCAUAUAAAGAACAAUAGCUGAGCCCAGUAGCUGAAUUCUCAUCAUCAAUAUCAUCAUCACUACCACCACAACCACCAUCACCACCAACAACAACUUCAUAUAAAGAACAAUAGCUGAGCCCAGUAGCUGAAUUCUCAUCAUUGAUAUCAUUCCACUGAGGAACACCUUGAGUUACACCGCCUCAGUUUAAUUAUUUAUAUUGUCCUCUACUUCCUGUACAGAACAGAUCGUGUUCCUUCCUCUAUUCCAGCCCACAUCCCUGGUGUAUGUCCCUGCCUAAAUGGCAGCUUCCAUUAACCUUACUCCUACAGUACAGUGUAACAUCAAAGAACACCGCCGCUUGCGAGCAGAGCUUUGGUCUCUAGUGUAACCGGGGCGUUCUUGAAAGUUAACCACCUUCAUGAGCAGGGGAAUCAUGCAUACAUUAUUUUAGAGGGGGCACUAAGUACGUGAGGUUGGCCCCCCCUCUGGAAUUUAGAGAAUUUUGCAUUUUAAAACAAUCUGAAACCAAAUUUUCCUGCAAUCUAGAGCCAUAAUCAUUAUGCCUAAUUAUAUGUAAAAAUAUAUAUAUAUGUAUACUACUGUUAAGGGAAUUUUUAUCAAUGAUGACUAAUUAUGUAUACAUUUCAAUCAGGACUGACUAGUCCAAAUGCUAUUAUGUACUGUACAUAUAUGAAUUUUCUUUCUUGCUCCCAUUCCCAAUUGUAUAUAAUAUAGUCAGGAGUUUAGUAACAAUGACGGUCUGUUCCUUUGUACAAAUGAAUGAACUAUCUCCAGACUGUCUAGAAUGCUGAUUUACAAUGACUGACCUUGGCUUCAGGCGAGGAGGGAAGACUCGAGAACUAUAGGGCCUCUCUACUAGUGUCAUGAAGAGAUAGAACAUUUAGAAAACGCUGACGUCAUUUUCAGUUUAUAACCUGUGGAAAAAUGUGUAUGUACCAGUACUCUCUUGAAUUAAACGCUGUUACCUGACUUUUAAGACCGGGGCUCUGUCCAUUUCUUAUAAAAAUAUAGGGUCUUUACAAGCCCUUCGAAUGCAUUGACAGAGUGAUGAAUUCUGAUUGGGAAAUAAUACAGAGGAAUUUAGAAUUCCUUCAACAACUACCGUUCAAAAGUUUGGGGUCACUUAGAAAUGUCCUUGUUUUUGAAAGAAAAACACAUUUCUUGUCCAUUAAAAUAACAUCAAAUUGAUCAGAAAUACAGGGUAGACAUUGUUAAUGUUGUAAACGGCUGAUUUUUAAUGGAAUAUCUACAUAGGUGAACAGAGGCCCAUUAUCAGCAACCAUCACUCCUGUGUUCCAAUGGCACGUCAUGUUAGCUAAUCCAAGUUUAUCAUUUUAAAAAGGUUAAUGGAUCAUUUGAAAACCCUUUUGCAAUUAUGUUAGCACAGCUGAAAACUGUUGUUCUGAUUAAAGAACCAAUAAAACUGGCCUUCUUUAGACUAGUUGAGUAUCUGGAGCAUCAGCAUUUGUGGGUUCGAUUACAGGCUCAAAAUGGCCAGAAACAAAGAAUCUUCUUCUGAAAUUCGUCAGUCUAUUCUUGUUCUGAGAAAUGAAGGCUGUUCCAUGUGAGAAAUUGCCAAGAAACUGAAGAUCUCGUACAAUGUUGUGUACUGCUCCCUUCACAGAACAGCGCAAUCUGUCUCUAACCAGAAUCAAAAGAGGAGUGGGAGGCCCUGGUGCACAACUGAGCAAGAGGACAAGUACAUUAGAGUGUCUAGUUUGAGAAACAGACACCUCACAAGUCCUCAACUGGCAGCUUCAUUAAAUAGUACCCGCAAAACACCAGUCUCAAUGCCAACAGUGAAGAGGCGACUCCACAAUGCUGACUUUCUAUGCGUUCCUCUGUUCAGUGUUCCUCUGUCCAGUGUUCCUCUGUCCAGUGUCUGUGUUAUUUUGUCCUUCUUAAUCUUUCAUUUUUAUUGGCCAGUCUGAGAUAUGGCAUUUCCUUUGCAACUCUGCCUAGAAGGCCAGCAUCCCGGAGUCGCCACUUCACUGUUGACGUUGAGACUGGUGUUUUGCGGGUACUAUUUAAUGAAGCUGCCAGUUGAUAACUUGUGAGGCAUCUGUUUCUCAAACUAGACACUCUAAUGCACCGGGGCCUCCCACUCCUCUUUCGAAGUGUCAAAGUCUUUUAUUGACAAAUACAUGAAGUUGAUGCAAAGAGUCAAUAUUUGCAAUGUUGAACCUUCUUUUUCAAGACCUCUGCAAUUCACCUUGGCAUGCUAUCAAUUAACUUCUGGGCCACAUCCUGACUGAUGGCAGUCCAUUCUUGCAUAAUCAAUGCUUGGAGUUUGUCAGAAUUUGUGGGUUUUUGUUUGUCCACCCGCCUCUUGAGGAUUGACCACAAGUUCUCAAUGGGAUUAAGGUCUGGGGAGUUUCCUGGCCAUGGACCCAAAAUAUCUAUCUUUUGUUCCCCGAGCCACUUAGUUAUCACUUUUGUCUUAUGGCAAGGUGCUCCAUCAUGCUGGGAAAGGCAUUGUUCGUCACCAAACUGUUCCUGGAUGGUUGGGAGUAGUUGCUCUUGGAGGAUGUGUUUGUACCAUUAUUUAUUCAUGGCUGUGUUCUUAGGCAAAAUUGUGAGUGAGUCCACUCCCUUGGCUGAGAAGCAACCCCACACAUGAAUGGUCUCAGGAUGCUUUACUGUUGGCAUGACACACGACUGAUGGUAGCGCUCACCUUGUCUUCUCCGGACAAGCUUUUUUCCGGAUGCCCCAAACAAUCGGAAAGGGGAUUCGUCAGAGAAAAUUACUUUACCCCAGUCUCAGCAGUCCAAUCCCUGUACCUUUAGCAGAAUAUCAGUCUGUCCCUGAUGUUUUUCCUGAAGAGAAGUGGCUUCUUUGCUGCCCUUCUUGACACCAGGCCAUCCUCCAAACGUCUUUGUCUCACUGUGCAUGCAGAUGCACUCACACCUGCCUGCUGCCAUUCCUGAGCAAGCUCUGUACUGGUGGUGCCCCGAUCCCUCAGCUGAAUCAACUUUAGGAGACGGUCUUGGCACUUGCUGGACUUUCUUCGGUGCCAUGAAGCCUUCUGCAGAAAUGCAGUGGAAAUGUUUUGGGGGGAUUCAGUUCAUUUGCAUGGCAAAGAGGGACUUUGCAAUUAAUUGCAAUUCAUCUGAUCACUCUUCAUAACAUUCUGGAGUAUAUGCAAAUUGCCAUCAUACAAACUGAGGCAGCAGACUUUGUGAAAAUAAAUAUUUGUGUAAUUCUCAAAACUUUUGGCCACACCUGUACAACUCAACACCGCACAUUGAGUAUACAGUACAGCCCACAGUCUACUAUAUAAAUAUAACUCAAUACCCCACAGUGAGUAUACAGUACAGCCCCAGUCACUAUAUAAAUUAUAACUCAAUACCCCACAGUGAGUU